rnacentral:rRNA from 1 species
ACAUAUUUUAGAGCUAGAAAUCAUUUCUAUAAAAUAAUAAAAAUUACUAUCAAAUCCAAAUUCAACUUACUAUAAAAAUAAGUAUCCUAAAAUAAAUUAAAUGUAACCCAUUUUUUCUUCAUUAUAAACUACACCUUGAUCUGAAUUAUUUUUUUAACAAAAUCUUAAAUAUUAACUUUCUAUAAAAAUAUUUAUAUAACAACGAUAUGUAAACUAAUAAAAAAAGUAAAUUUAAUCGUGGAUUAUCAUUUAUAAAACAGGUUCCUCUGAAAAGAUAAAAUACCGCCAGAAUUUUUAAUUUUAAAGAUUAUAUCUAAUACUAAUUUAAUGUUUUUAUUUACCUUUUUAAUAAUAGGGUAUCUAAUCCUAGUUUAUAAAUAAAUUUUCCCAACUUCAUUAACUAAUACAAAAUUAUUAAAAAAUUAAAAUUUCACCUUAUAAUUUCUUAACAUAAUUUUAUUCUUAAAUAAAUUGAUAUUAAUAAAAUUAAAUUAUAUUAUUUGGAUAACCGCA